rnacentral:rRNA from 1 species
UACAUGGGGUGCAAACGUUGCUCGGAAUUAUUGGGCGUAAAGCGCACGUAGGCGGUUCGUUAAGUCGGAUGUGAAAGCCCUCGGCUCAACUGAGGAAGUGCACCCGAAACUGGCGAGCUUGAGUACGAAAGAGGAUCGCGGAAUUCCCGGUGUAGAGGUGAAAUUCGUAGAUAUCGGGAGGAACACCGAUGGCGAAGGCAGGUCUCUGGGCCACUACUGACGCUGAGAAGCGAAAGCAUGGGGAGCGAACAGG